GCUGUGUUAUCGCGAAUUAUGUCUGUAUUACAGCAUUAUUUGUUAAUAAUUACAACAAUCAAUCGAAUUGAUGAAACUUAUAUUUGUGUUUUAGUGUUUAAAUUGUGAGUGUGUGAAAAGUGUUAUCUCGAGAAUGAAACGUAUAAAAUUCGAAAGCUUAGAUUUGUGUUUUAGUGUUUAAAUUGUGAAUGUGUGAAAAGUGUUUUCUUGGGAAUGAAACGAAUAAAGUUCGAAAGCUUAGUCUCAAUAAUGUUUCGGAUAGUGAAAAAGCAGUUAUGGAACAAUAAACUGGCGCUAACACCUACGUGAAUGCUUGCAUUGUUGCCAUUUACUGUACCAUGUUUUAUACGUACGUCAGUCGUCUGAGCUUUUCUAUACAAAAAAACACAAGCAACAGUAACAAAACGAGCAUUAUGAGUUUAAACCCUCAAAACCGCGACAUGACAUCAAAAACUUUUCAACACAACACCACAUCAACACGCCAACAACUCAGUCUAACAACGCCAGAGAGGCAGGGUAGACGGUGUGACAGAUGAUUAACGCAUAAAAUGCGAUCGUAUAACGGCGAAUGCCGACUCACGUAAUGCAAACGCAAUUUUUCAAAACAAUAACGACGAAGAAGGCGAGAAAAAAAUAUUACCGACAUAUAUUGCUGCUGCCACAACGCCGCAAUCAGCAACAGCGUCAGCUCGCACUUCCUUCGCGGAGAAACGCUCGCUACCCACACAUUCUCACUCAUGCAUGUGAAGAAAGCAGCGCAUUUGGCGUGCAAAACUUUUAAGGACAUUUCAGUAUGGUGCCAUGGCAACGGUGCCAGACAACCUAUGCGAGAUUUAUGCAAGACACACGAGUACAAGCACAUACGUGUUCUGCGGUGUAUGUAUAGGUGCUUGUGUGGGAGGAAAUACAUGCUGAUGCCAGCGGAAACGCAUUGCUUAACAUUAACCUCAAAGGGAGCCUCCUCAUUUAGAAGCUCUUCAGGCCUGCCAAGAUGCGAGUUUUGGGCAAUGUCCGCUAAUGAAAAAUUAGCUGCAAUACAAAUAUAUUUUUAUAAAGAAUGUGAGAACUAAACGAUAUAAUAUCUUGAUAAUUUUUCAAUUCGCAGAAUAUUAUAGUAAUUAUUAUAAUUAUUUUACUAAAUUAUAUAAAAUUAUCAUAUUUUCCA